UCCUGUAAUUUGCCAAUGUAUCUAUUAUCUAUGGAUAUUAUCUAUGGAUAUGGAUAUUGUUUGUCUUUCAUUUUGAAGAGGCUCAAUGAAGUCAUGGAGUGCCAUCUUGACUCACGAAUGAGUUGGAUUUAAUCGAAGCAGAGUUGCACAGUCAUUGGCUUCACUCUUUCUUUCAGAGUCAUCAAAGUCCAGCAGCAAGAUAAAAGUCAAGAUGAUUGGCAAUGUCCCAGGAUACAAACAAGCCGGACAGAGUUGCCGCGACCCAACCUGCUCGAGAGACCUGCGCAGCACCGAAUCCCCUUGGUCCGAGGCAGGGGUCCUGGGCCUGUUCUUCUCCAGCAUGCACCCAAGCCAGCUCAGAUCAAGCCUCCCAGCUUUCCAAGACCCAAUAAAGACACCUGAAUUGUGAGAGGGGGGGGCACUGAGGGCCAGAGUGGCAGCUUCCCGCCAGAUUCCAUUGUAAAUGCAGCCACCUCAAAGAGAUGCUUUUGAUCAUCUAAAUCCAGGUUGUAUUAAUUCACCAAAUCCCUUAAACUCCGGGGAUUUUCUUCUGAUGUCUAAUGAAAGUACCUUCCCCGGCUCUUUGGAGCUACCUGGGGCCAGCUGACUUCACAGCAGCCUCAGCUUGGGCUCCCCUCUGAGGGGCUGGGGGUGGAGGGGCAGGGAGGGGGGGAGGGAGGGAGAGUGGGAGGCGCAGGAAGUGGAAGAGAGGACUCCACAUUCCAGAGCACUUGGUCUGGGGCCAGGGCUUAAUGGUCCAUCUCCGAUGAUGCUUGUCUGCUGACCAUGUUCAGCUUCAGAUCUGGCCCAGAUGGACUCACAGACCAUGGGAGGGGGGCCUUCUCUCCAGGGGGAGCUUCUUAGAGCUCCCUUGGUAAGCCUGGGGAAAGGGGGCAUCGAGGGCACUUCUGGGAGAGAGGAAGGGCUACAUAGGCUGUCACUGGUGAUACUAGAGCUGCCCACUCUGAGUUGAUGCUCUCCCCAUUCCACUCCCUGCCUCAAUUUAUAACCCUCCCCCUAUUUCACUUGCAAAACCUGGACCACAGAGGAGAACUGGUGUUUCUAGCCACGGGUACAGGUGCCUGGCCUAACUAAGCCAUUACAGAGCAA
rnacentral:lncRNA from 1 species